rnacentral:rRNA from 1 species
GACGAACGCUGGCGGCGUGCCUAAUACAUGCAAGUCGAACGAACCGCGACUGAGUGCUUGCACUUGGUCAAGGUGAGUGGCGAACGGGUGAGUAACACGUGGGUAACCUACCUCAUAGUGGGGGAUAACAGUCGGAAACGACUGCUAAUACCGCAUAGGACAUAGGAUCACAUGAUCCAGUGAGGAAAGGUGGCGCAAGCUAUCGCUAAGAGAUGGACCCGCGGUGCAUUAGCUAGUUGGUAGGGUAAAGGCCUACCAAGGCGAUGAUGCAUAGCCGACCUGAGAGGGUGAUCGGCCACAUUGGGACUGAGACACGGCCCAAACUCCUACGGGAGGCAGCAGUAGGGAAUCUUCCGCAAUGGACGCAAGUCUGACGGAGCAACGCCGCGUGAGUGAAGAAGGUCUUCGGAUCGUAAAGCUCUGUUGUUAGAGAAGAACAGCGCAUAGAGUAACUGCUAUGCGUGUGACGGUAUCUAACCAGAAAGCCACGGCCAACUACGUG